UACGUAGGCAGCGAGCGUUGUUCGGAGUUACUGGGCGUAAAGGGUGUGUAGGCGGUUGUUUAAGUUUGGUGUGAAAUCUCCCGGCUCAACUGGGAGGGUGCGCCGAAUACUGAAUGACUCGAGUGUGGGAGAGGUGAGUGGAAUUCCUGGUGUAGCGGUGAAAUGCGUAGAUAUCAGGAGGAACACCGGUGGUGUAGACGGCUCACUGGACCAUAACUGACGCUGAGACACGAAAGCGUGGGGAGCGAACAGG
rnacentral:rRNA from 1 species